rnacentral:rRNA from 1 species
CCUACGGGUGGCAGCAGUGAGGAAUAUUGGUCAAUGGGCGGGAGCCUGAACCAGCCAAGUCGCGUGAGGGAUGACGGCCCUAUGGGUUGUAAACCUCUUUUGCCGGGGAGCAAAGUGCCGCACGUGUGCGGUUUGGAGAGUACCCGGAGAAAAAGCAUCGGCUAACUCCGUGCCAGCAGCCGCGGUAAUACGGAGGGGGCAAGCGUUAUCCGGAAUUACUGGGUGUAAAGGGAGCGUAGACGGUGAUGUAAGUCUGGAGUGAAAGGCGGGGGCCCAACCCCCGGACUGCCCUGGAAACUAUGUGACUGGAGUGCGGGAGAGGUGAGCGGAAUGCGUAGUGUAGCGGUGAAAUGCGUAGAUAUUAGGAGGAACACCAGUGGCGAAGGCGGCUCACUGGACUGUAACUGACGUUGAGGCUCGAAAGCGUGGGGAGCAAACAGGAUUAGAUACCCGGGUAGUC